rnacentral:lncRNA from 1 species
UGAGAGACAGAGAGAGGAGCAGAAACAUAGGCAGAGGCAAAAGUAGGCUCCCUGCAGGGAGACCUACAUGAGCGUCGAUCCCAGACCCCAGGAUCAUGACCUGAGCCAAAGGCAGAUGCUCAAUCACUGAGCCACUCAGGCUCCCCUUUUUCUCUUCUCUUGAUGUAAAGUACAAUGGGAAGCAAUCCACAGACUUGUUAAUACUAUAUGACUUGACCUACUUCAAAGAAGUAACAGCACAUUUUAAUAUCAAUAAUUGGAGAUGAUACUCAAAAAAGUUAUGAUGCUACCUAUUCCAAAAAUAAAACUGAAAUAAAUGGAAUUUUUAAAUAAACUUAUGGGAGCACCCGGCAAGCUCAGCUGUUAAGAGCAUGCUACUCUUGAUCCUGGGGUCAUGGGUUCAAGCUCCACACUGAGUAGAGAUUACUUAAACUUUUUAAAAAUGUUUAAAAAAAUAAACUUAUGGGCAGCCCCGGUGGCGCAGCACAGGACAAAAACUAUAAUCGAUGAAAAAACAAAAGACUUUGUUGGAUGGAGAAUGAGUACUUCAGGAUAAAAUUAUUUGGGAUUAUUUAUUUCAACUACUCACAUCACUAUUUUUAUGAUUACUGAGAAAACCUGACAGGAAUUUUAAAUCACACUAACUAUGGCUGCAGAUUUAAAGGUAGGAAAAAAAAUUAAAACCUUCAGAAGCAUCAAUUUUUUAAUGCUGAGUUUUUGAUCUUCCUAUACAGUAUAGAGUAACAAUUAACCAGCAUUUGGUUGCAUAUAAAGGCUACAUGUCCUUAUUUAUAAAUGGAGGGACCUGCACUAAAUGAAUUCCAAGAGUUCCUUGCAGCGCAGUUUCAUGGAUCCGUGACCUGUGCCAUUACACAGGCACCAUACUUAGAGGGGCCGUAAAUUGAGUGAAUGCUUGCCAUCACUGUCUUCAAGUUCUUAAUAGUUUUUUUAAUGAAAAGGGGCCCCACAUCUUCAUUUUGCACUGGACUCCCAUUAUAUAGCUGGUCUAUUCCCUGAAAUUCUAAGAUUCUGUCAUUCUGUAAAAGUAUCCCUCUACAGUUCCAGGCACAAGGAGGAUAAAAACAGAAAACUGAGGUGACCUAUGUUCCAUCUGUUUCAGAAUAAUGACUCAGGAUUAUUUUCUACUUCUUUUUUUUUUUAGAUUUUUAAAAAAGAUUUUAUUUAUUUAUUCAUGAGAGACACAAAGAGAGCGGCAGAGACACAGGCAGAGGACUGUGUCCAUGCAAGGAGCCGACAUGGGAUUCGAUCCCGGGUCUCCAGGAUCAUGCCCUGGACUGAAGGCAGUGCUAAACCGCUGAGCCACCCGGGCUGCCCUUAUUUUCUACUUCUGUCAAAAAGAAACUAAUGUGUUUUUCUGGGUUGGGUUUUUUUUUUUUAGAUU